UGACAUGAACCCACUACACAUUCAGCAACUUUAGGUUGAUCUCUAUAGAACCACUGUAAAUGACAUGAACCCACUACACAUUCAGCAACUUUAGGUUGAUCUCUAUAGAACCACUGUAAAUGACAUGAACCCACUACACAUUCAGCAACUUUAGGUUGAUCUCUAUAGAACCACUGUAAAUGACAUGAACCCACUACACAUUCAGCAACUUUAGGUUGAUCUCUAUAGAACCACUGUAAAUGACAUGAACCCACUACACAUUCAGCAACUUUAGGUUGAUCUCUAUAGAACCACUGUAAAUUACAUGAACCCACUACACAUUCAGCAACUUUAGGUUGAUCUCUAUAGAACCACUGUAAAUGACAUGAACCCACUACACUUUCAGCAACUUUAGGUAGAUCUCUAUAGAACCACUGUAAAUUACAUGUUUAGGUUGAUCUCUAUAGAACCACUGUAAAUUACAUGUUUAGGUUGAUCUCUAUAGAACCACUGUAAAUUACAUGUUUAGGUUGAUCUUUAUAGAACCACUGUAAAUUACAUGUUUAGGUUGAUCUCUAUAGAACCACUGUAAAUUACAUGUUUAGGUUGAUCUCUAUAGAACCACUGUAAAUUACAUGUUUAGGUUGAUCUCUAUAGAACCACUGUAAAUUACAUGUUUAGGUUGAUCUCUAUAGAACCACUGUAAAUUACAUGUUGAGGUUGAUCUCUAUAGAACCACUGUAAAUUACAUGUUGAGGUUGAUCUCUAUAGAACCACUGUAAAUUACAUGUUUAGGUUGAUCUCUAUAGAACCACUGUAAAUUACAUGUUUAGGUUGAUCUCUAUAGAACCACUGUAAAUUACAUGUUUAGGUUGAGAAACUCAAAACCA